GACGUAGGGGGCAAGCGUUAUUCGGAAUUAUUGGGCGUAAAGCGUGCGUAGGCGGAUUCGUAAGUCGGGGUUGAAGUAUCCGGGCUCAACUCGGGGCACGGCCUCGAUACUGCGGAUCUCGAGUCGAGAAGAGGGUAGUGGAAUUCCCGGUGUAGCGGUGAAAUGCGUAGAUAUCGUAAGGAAGACCAGUGGCGAAGGCGGGUCUCUGGACAGUUCCUGACACUGAGGCACGAAGGCCAGGGGAGCAAACGGG
rnacentral:rRNA from 1 species